rnacentral:misc_RNA from 1 species
CUUGGUCAUUUAGAGGAAGUAAAAGUCGUAACAAGGUUUCCGUAGUGAACCUGCGGAAGGAUCAUUAUCGAGUUAGACCGGGAAGGGGUUUCCUCGGACUCUCCUUCCUAGUUUUCCUUAUUUCACCUGUGCACCCUCUGUAGGCCCUCGAGAGAGAUCUAUGUUUUCUAUAAUCUACUCUAUCGCAUGUCCAGAACGUAUACAUACAAACUUUUACAACUUUCAGCAACGGAUCUCUUGGCUCUCGCAUCGAUGAAGAACGCAGCGAAUUGCGAUAAGUAAUGUGAAUUGCAGAUUUUCAGUGAAUCAUCGAAUCUUUGAACGCACCUUGCGCUCCUUGGUAUCCCGAGGAGCAUGCCUGUUUGAGUGUCAUGGAAUUCUCAACCGUGUCUCGAUCUGAUCUCGAGGCAUGGCUUGGACUUGGGAGUUGCUGGCGGCCUCGUCGGCUCUCCUCAAACACAUUAGCGACGUUCAGCAAGCCUGACGUGCAUGGCCUUUUUUCGACGUGAUAACGAUCGUCGUGGGCUGKCGCGUACGGUGAGCGGUGAAUCGCUUCCAAUUCCUUAGACUUAUCAUGGUCUUUUCGAUCUCGAUCUUGAUGGGGGGGAACUUUUGACCUUCGAGAGACCCGAGCCUUAGUUACUAGUCGGUCGUGAGGCCAACGAACGCAGGGCCUAGGUUUGAAACUUUGAAGCAAUCGCAAUUCCCUCUGUCUCGAUCCUGAAUCAUUUGAACUCUUGACCUCAAAUCAGGUAGGACUACCCGCUGAACUUAAGCAUAUCAAUAAGCGGAGGA